CCUACGGGUGGCUGCAGUGGGGAAUAUUGGACAAUGGGCGAAAGCCUGAUCCAGCCAUGCCGCGUGUGUGAAGAAGGCCUUCGGGUUGUAAAGCACUUUCAGUGGGGAAGAAAGCCUUGGGGCUAAUACCCUCGAGGAAGGACAUCACCCACAGAAGAAGCACCGGCUAACUCCGUGCCAGCAGCCGCGGUAAUACAGAGGGUGCGAGCGUUAAUCGGAAUUACUGGGCGUAAAGCGCGCGUAGGCGGUCUGAUAAGUCGGUUGUGAAAGCCCCGGGCUCAACCUGGGAACGGCAUCCGGAACUGUCAGGCUAGAGUGCAGGAGAGGAAGGUAGAAUUCCCGGUGUAGCGGUGAAAUGCGUAGAGAUCGGGAGGAAUACCAGUGGCGAAGGCGGCCUUCUGGACUGACACUGACGCUGAGGUGCGAAAGCGUGGGUAGCAAACAGGAUUAGAUACCCCGGUAGUC
rnacentral:rRNA from 1 species